rnacentral:lncRNA from 1 species
UUUCAGUUACUUAAAUUCGGUUAUGGGCAGUUACUUAUCUUGAGUUAGUUAAUUUUAUUCGAUAAAUUUGCGUUUUUCAAAAUCUGUUAUUUUAUUGUUAAAAUCUUUUUAUUCUGCAUUCCUUGUGUGUAAGGAAUUGUAUAGUACAUUUUAAUUAAAUACACAUACAAUGCCAAAAAAAACUUUACUCAAUCAAUAUCAAUAUACAACCACAAUGAAAAAUAAAAUAAAAAACUUUACUCAAUCAAAUGAUUCAUCUUAAGAAUUUGAUUUUCGUUUUGCAACCGCAAUAUUUGAUUCUUCAAAUCAACUACUACACCCUGCUUAUCUAACAAUACUCAUCAUCUCCUU